CGGCUUCAAAUAAGGUGAACAUGCAUGAAAGUGUUUGUUGGAUGUAUGAUGUCUUUUGUUGGCGCCAUUGUGGUUUCUUUGGAAAGCUGAAGUAACUGGCUUCGUACUGUACGCCAUAUUUGUGGAAUCAAUACCUGCCAAAUCGAACUCUUAUACCUUUGAUAACAUCGCAGGGCUGUAAAUGCAAGAGUUCCUGCUGCACUUAACGAAAGUGACAUGGCAUCACAGAGGAUACUCUGGCAGAAUUUUGCUCGCAAAUGAUUGUAAAUUAUUAGUCAUGGUUCUUAGUAUCAUUGACGCCUUCGCAUUUAGUUACCGGUACAUGACAAAAAGGAAAAACACACCGACCUUUCGGGUAAAACCAUAGUUUAAUAGUCAAAUAGCUAAAGUGCCAUCGCUGUUAGUUGCGCGUCAAUUUUUUUCUUUCCGGCAUGUGAUGCUUAGAGCUUAUGGAAUUAUACAGAGAAAGAUUGUGUUUUCAAAGAAAGGACCAGAGAAAAAGAUUCCUAAAAGCCACUUCAUCAGCAAGCUGUUGUCUGUUUUCAAGAAUAGAAAGUAGAAAAUUUGAUCUAAAAUGCUCAGUGUAGAUGCUAAGGUGCCUUGAAAUUUGUAAUUAAUGGCUUUUGUUUCAAAGAAUGUUUGUCAAACUCUCUUAAAUAAAUGCUGAAUAAAUGGAACUCCUGAUCCAAAAGAUUCCGCACUGCCUAAAAUGACCAACCAGCCCUCUUAUUGUUGAUUGUGUGGUUAGGUAACCCUAUAAAUUAUUGAUCGUUAUGUGAAGCUGAUUAAAUGAGCAUGCAAUGGAUGAGCUGUUGUGGCAUUCCAUGUGAGAUGAGGAAUAACUUGUGAAACCCUCCCACACCCCUCAUAUCUUGCCCGUAGAAUAUAGUCACAGUUUUUUUUAAUAAUUUCCACAGCAAAAACAUGUUAAUGAAUAAAAAAUGCUUUGUGCAUUCAGAUAAAAGCUGACAACUACAAAAUAGUGAUUAACAACAAGUACUGUACUGCACUUGUGUCAGAAUUAUUUUAAGAUCCUGUAAAAAACAUUUUGUUGGCAUGGAUGUUUCUCACUUUACCUUCAAAUUGCUUAGGUUUCUAAGUUUAACAUUAUUGCUGUCACUAAUGACAACAAAAGUGGCUCACUUUCGCCACACAAUGCUACAGACUGGACUGAACUGAACUAUUCCCCCAAAAGACAGGAGUCUUUGGAAGUAGGAGACAGAUGUCUGAAAUUCUCAGUUGAAUGUACACAGUGAGUUUCAAAUCUUUGAGGAAGCUUUAUUUAUUGAUUUUGUCUUUUACAAAACAGUUCUGAUUUUACUGGAAAUCUCUAUAAUAAUAAUAUUAAUAUAUUAAUAAUAAUGUUCUUGUUAUUAUAAUAAGGCCACCGCAUCCUUCCAAUCUGAAAUGUUUUGCUUAUAAUUUACUUUUAAAUGACUUUGUUUUUCACUUUUUCUUGGAACUUCUACCAGAAAAUCAUUACCCCUUCAUCACACAUCACAACAUUUUUGGUUAUAAAGGAAUAAUCAUGAAUUGUCAAUGCUGAAACAAUAAAUAUAGAUGGAACUGGAGAAUGAACUCCUCAGAGAAAAGAAAAAAGGCACAAUGUAAACAAAAUGAGGAGCUUUGAGAUAAGCAAACAUCUGAUAUAAAAUAGAUUCCAUUGGAAGGUUAACAUUGGCUAGAAAUUUUACUUGUUGUAAAAAGUGAUUAUAA